rnacentral:misc_RNA from 1 species
CGCAGCCGCGGUAAUUCCAGCUCCAAUAGCGUAUAUUAAAGUUGUUGCAGUUAAAAGCUCGUAGUUGAAUUUCGAGAUCAAAUUGUUGGUCGUGCCUUGGUACGCACUGGCAUUAUUGGUUUCUCCCUUCUGACGAACCAUGAUGUCAUUAAUUUGGUGUCUUGGGGAAUCAGGACUGUUACUUUGAAAAAAUUAGAGUGUUUAAAGCAGGCUCACGCUUGAAUACAUUAGCAUGGAAUAAUGAAAUAGGACGUUUGAUUCUAUUUUGUUGGCUUCUAGGAUUGACGUAAUGAUUAAUAGGGAUAGUUAGGGCAUUAGUAUUCAAUUGUCAGAGGUGAAAUUCUUGGAUUUAUUGAAGACUAACUACUGCGAAAGCAUUUGCCAAGGAUGUUUUCAUUAAUCAAGAACGAAAGUUAGGGGACCGAAGACGAUCAGAUACCGUCGUAGUCUUAACCAUAAACUAUGCCGACUAGGGAUCGGAUGAUGUUAAUUUUUUAAUGACUCAUUCGGCGCCUUACGG